GGAUUUAGGGGGAGUAACUUGACUGUCGAAAGUAGAAAAAUGAUAUUUAGGGGGAGAUAACUUUCUGUUUUGUCUAUGGGAUCAGAACUUGUAGUGACUUGCUUAACCUCCUAACAUAUGAAAGAUUGUUGUUUAAUUGUGUCAAGUUCUGUUUCUUAUUUUUCAAUUCUAUUAUGUUUCACUGGUAGUCUGCUUGGUGUGCAGAAGCUACAAGAAUUGGAUGUUUGUUGGGCAUAGCAAAUUAGGAUGUGUAGGUUCUUCUUGUAAACGUGUCUGCAAUGUAAUCUAGUGUUUUGUCUAGGAAAUGCCAAAGGGGGAGAUUGUUAGUAUGAAAAUUAUAUUGGCAUUUCCUAGACUCUAUUAUAGGUUGAGAAUUAGUGUGUGAAUAUUGUUUACUAGACGUUUUGGAGCACCACAAUCAAUCUCAUACUUUCGAAGCAUGACUUGACCGAUAUAAGAAACUUGAUUUCAGGUAAAUCAUGACAUAAUCAU
rnacentral:lncRNA from 1 species